AAGUGAGUGCAUGGUAAGAUUCAGUCUCCCUUGUGGAAUUGUUGGGUCAAAGCCCAGGUGCGUUUUAAAUUUGGGGGACUGUUGCCACAUCGCCCUUCUCAAAGGAGCACCAAGUCCAGCUAUUACUAGGAAGUACCAGUGCCUCCUUCCCAUACUACUGCCAGAACUGGAUGAUUCACAGGCUGGUAAGCCUUUGCAAAUCUGCAACAAGGAUGAGGAAGGAAGACCAUCACCCUCUCCCAGCUUGCUUUUGUACAUGUCACAGACAAGAAGCCACAACUAAGCAAGACGUUUGACAAUUCACCGAGGUCAAUAGCACUUUGAAGGAAGUGAAGAGGGGAACGUGACGGAGACUCAGGCGUUGCUGAGAGCAUCUUGAGGCUGUUGGAAUUCAAAAGCCGAGAGUGUUUCCACAGAGGACCCAUCUUCAGCAAUGCCUUCCUUCCCAUUCUGCUUCCUCCCAGUUUCUUCAAGACCCUCUCAUUUUCAGUGACAUCAGUUUGCUGUCCUGGCUCUGCAGAGAGAUGCAGGGUCCACCCUAGAUGUGGUUCUGUGUGGGUGUCCACCAUCACGUGUUAUUUGAGGUUGCCAUCAUUUACUACCUUCACUGAAGCGGGAGCUCAUUUUCCAUCAUUUUUGCUUUCACUGGUGGGUUUUAGAAAAGAAAGCCUGACUUUACCCACUUUUUACUGGAGCAACUUUGAAAAAGUGGAGUGAAGUCCAGCUGGCUUUGGGUGGGGUCCUGUGACGCAACGGCUCCCAGCUCAGCUGUCCCUAUUGCUUGAUCCAAAUGUCCCCGUGUGGUUCUUAUAUGGUUUUGCUAAAACUGGAAAGAAGUUACAGCCAGCGCGAGUAUAGUGUUUAUAACGAUUGGUUUUGAGUAACUCGUUGGUAUUUCAGGAUUCAGCAAAUGCUGAUAAUUUGUGAGUAGCUGCUGGAGCAGAGAAAGCUAACAUUUAAUGGCUGCCUACUAGGUGAUGAUGCUUUACAUCUGUUGUCCUUCGACUUAAUCCGCACAACAGCCCUACCGGCUGGUAUUAUUACCUCCAUUUUGUGCGCCGGGAGACUUGCUGGAGGUCGCCUUCCUACUGGGAUCUGAUUCUGAAGCAGGUGCGCGUUCUCUUGAGCCCUGAGAUCCUCUGUGUGGAGAUGUCUCCAUUACUGUUUCUUGUCCUUCUUGACAACAUUUGGCCUUAUCAGGGCCUAAGUGAAUAAAAGUUUUGUCAUCGUGUUCGUCUUUAUGAAUGUCAACGCAGAGGGUACCCAGUGAUCUUACCCGUGGGUUAAGGCUGUGAAGUCGAAAGGAUGAAGACAGCAGUUAAAAACAGGUAGUGUGUCCCCAGCUGCCUGUUACAUAGUAGUUACAGCUGCUGGGCUACAAGGGCGCUGAGGAGGAACACAGGCGGCUUUUGUCUCUUGGAGCCCCUAGUCCACAUUCAUGUCUCCCCACAGGCUGCUUCGUGAAUGACUAUCCUCUUACCUGACUCUCUCACCUCCUUGGCACACGUAGUGUCUGCGCCAGGCUGUGGGUGCUCAGUAAACGUUGGAUGGAUGGAUGGAUGUUGGGGAAGUCGGUGCAGGCUCCGAACUCAUAGCACUCACCCCUGAAGGCCCACUUACACUCCCAAGACUCUCCCACCCUUAACCCUACAGUUGGAGAUUCAUUCUUUCUGCUUAACACUUGGUUCCAGGUGUCCAUCGUAAAUGUGUUGCUAUGUCUCUCUGUGAAGAACAGAUACUCCGAGGAGGGACUCAAACCUGCUUUGCCAGGUGUUUCUUAGGUGUCAGACUUUCUCCCUGAGAAGAGCUCUUACUUGAGGAGGCAUUAUGGGGGGAGGAAGAAUUGAAGGAGGUGGGUAAAUUCUAGGAGGUGGUGUCAUGGCCCCAAAGAUGGACCCCGGAAAUACGCCAUGUCACAUGGUGGAGGGGAAUUAAAGUUGCAGAUGGAAUUAAGGUUGCUAGUCAGCUGACCUUAAGAUAGGGAUGUUAUCUUGGCUUAUCCAGGUGGACCCAAAUAAUCACAGGGUCUUUAAAAUUGGAAGAGAGAGGCAGAAGAGAUGGUCAGAGUGAUGCAGCAGGACAAGGACUCCAUCCAUAUUUGCCGGCCCUGAAGACGGAGGGAGGGGCCAUGAGCUAAGGAAUGCGAGCGGCUUCUAGAAGCUGGAAAAGACAAAGGCAAUGGUUUCUUCCCCCAGAGCCUCCAGAAGGAGCUCAGCCCUGCAGACAUCCUGAUUGUAGCUCAGCAAGACCCGUGUGAGGCUUCUGAGCUGCAGAACUAUAAAAUAAUACAUUUGUGUUGUUUUAAGCCAUUAUGUUUGUGUAAUUUAUUACAGCAGCAGCGGGAGACCAAUAUGUAAGAGAACACAGUUUGAAAAAGCUGGGAUCGCAGUUGAAUCGCCCACCUCCACUUACCAUCUGGAACAAAGAUUGGCCUGAACUGUGAGUGAAUUAUUUGGACCUGCGUCUGGGUUUAGGAGGCUUCCUAGUGGUCUCCUUGGUGACCCCAUCUGCUGGAGACUUGGUGGGAGAGUCACCAGGCCUCCUUGAGAAGAUGGGGAAGAAAACACGGUUCAGCUCAUUUCUGCCGAUUUAGUCUCCAAUGAAAUCACCCAAGAACUGUUUGGGUGAGUUUGACAAAGUGGCAGUGGGAUAAGGAUUCAGAAAACACCUCCCUUGGUCCUCCGUUUGAGAGAUUUCAGGCAUUUUAAAGUCCCCUCUGAAAGGGGAACACAUUUUAUUCAAAUUCCUGGCCCAGCUGCAGAAGUGUAUUAGCAUUUUUGUUUUGGUUUCAAAGUUUCUUCUGGAUUGAUAAUGGUAGCAGCUCAGCUGGAGAAAAAUGCACACAUGCACACACAUGCACACACUCAAUCACAUGUGCAUACACACACACACACAUGCACACCCUCAUACACAUGUGCAUACACAUGCAUACAUGCACACAUGCACACACACACACACACACACACGUGCAUACACAGAGUUCUAACAGCUCCCAACGUUCUGUUCAGCAGAAAAUGAAUUGGAUGGGUGUCCAUAUAUGUAGGUUUGCCUAUGCUCAGUAUUUUAGGGGACUGAGAGUGGCCUGUUAUAAAUAUUAAAACAAAAUUCAAACGUUUUUUAGUUCUUAUAUGCUAGGUGAAGUGCUAAUCAGGUUACAUGUGUAUCUUAUGUAAUCCAUAAAAUUGUGUAAAAUAGAUAACGUUCCUAUGCCCAUUUUAUAGAUGAGAAAGGAGGUUAUAGUCUAAAUGAGGUCGUGCAGCAGACCUGGCCCUCCACCCUGGUCUGUGUGACUCCAGAUAUGAGCUCGUGGUGCUUACAUGCUCCUGACGGCCAGGUCGCUGAGUUUGCGCCCUGGCUCUGUGUUCACCAACUUUGUGACUGAGGGCAUUAAUAUUGUUGUGUCUUAAUCCUUCAUGGAAAAUAGAUGCAAUAAUAAUACCUACCUCAAAGGGUUGUUUGUGGACUAAAUGGGUCAGUAGUAGUUAAGCACUUUGAACAUUGCACGACACCUAGGAUGUCCUCAUAUAAUGAUAGCUAUUGUUGUCACCUUAGGGCUGAUUUUUUUCUGUAAAUUGUCAUGUCGCCAGUGGCUUGGAUUAAGUGUGCCAGUGAAUCGUUUGUGAACGAUGGACAGAGCCUAUAGUUCACAUCAGCCAAAGUUUAAAUAAAACAAAACAAGAAAGGAAAUUAAACCAAUGGAUAAAUGUAUAUCUUAAUAAUCCCUUUCUUUUUAUUAAUAUCAUUCUUAUAAUAACCUCAAAUGUUCAGUGGGGCAGUAAUUAUUGUAUUUUUUUUUUGUUAAAAUUGGGGAAACUGAAGCCCAGAGAGCAAAAACGACUUGACCAAUGUUAUACGACGAUCAAACAGGAGAGGCCGAUCUGCUUCCAGAUGUAGUGAUGAUUCUGCAUCAUCUCCCUCCCUCCCUUCCUUUCUUCCGUCCUUCCAUUCACUCAUCAUCCACCUAACCGUCGAUCCAUCCAUUGACCCAUCCAUCCUUCUUUCCUUCCUUCUAUCCAUCCAUCUAUCAUUUAUUACUCAGAGUGUGCCGAGGAAUGCAGUGACCAAACCCAUUACAGAUAAAUGUGGAAGUGGACAUAUUUCUUGAACCUUGGCUCAGUGGAUUCUCUCUAAUAAGACUGUAAUGGCUUCAUGAGGUUUUCUUCUCCUGGGGUCAUCUUUAUCUCUGUCUGUGACCUGGCUACUCCUAAAUAUUUUUCUUGCGCUUAUUCGGGAAGCAUGAAUAUUUUAAUGAGAUACUGUGAGGACUUGAUGCUCACCACUGAUGGUAUGAAAUGGACUUUAGCAUGUGAAGAACUCAAAAGAUAUGUUAAUAGUCCUAUGUAUUGUAAUGAAUUUAGAAAAAAAACGUGUAAUGAGCAUAUUUCAGGGAUGGUGUUUUGGUGAUUUUCACUUGGGAUGAGGCUCCUGUAGGGACCCCCCUUAGAUGCCGUGUGCAGGUCUCAGCCCUCUCCCUGACACACAGAUGCAGAACGGAUGCUCUGGGUGUGACACCUCCUCCCUGAAGCCCACGGGGAAACCCCCGACAGGAGCCGGGACUGGAGAGGAGAGUGCAGCAAAGCAAUUGAACUGUCAGUCAUGGUAGGAGGAGGCCACCGGCGAGACGGCACUGACUACAGACAACUCCUCUUUAGCACCGAGGCUUCUUGGCCUUAGCUUGGAAAAGUCUUCACUCUAUUUGUGUUUCAAGAGCUUUCUGGAUGAAACCUCCCAAUUGCGAGAUCGUAUGCACGAUUGCAGCUGGCUUUGCAAAUUAGCAUAUCUUGCAGACGUAUUAGCUCAUUUGAACAACGUACACUCAUCCCUAGAAGGCAGCUUAAGCCGCCGUCAGUACUCCACGCGCGGGACAGGAGAAGGUGGCGACCGUGGCUGGCAGGAGAGUCGCUUCCUGGUUCAGAUGACCUGGCGGGGAGCUCCUCUGAAGAACCCACUAAAAAUAUUUCGAACAUGAUGAAGACACACUUGAAAGACUUGCUGAAAGGUAUUCAGGGGUGUUUUCCCCAUCUCGACGGGAGUGGCGAGUGGACAGAGAACAAAUUCUCAUCACCUCCAGGAUGUGGCGAAUUAUUUAUUCGGAAGAGCAGACUCCGGAGACUGCCUAAACCCAAAGUUCCUUAUGCCAUUUGGGUUAAGGAUUAAUUCUCGGUGUCCAACAUGACCAAGGUGAGAUGGUUGACUAUUUCUGAGAAUGUAAAAAUGGGAAUUGGUUUUCUUGGUACUAACUUAUAUUCGGUCUGAAAACUGGAAUCAUCUAGAAGACAGAAGUGCCUGAAGCAGAGAUUCUCAACGUGGGGCCCCCAGGCCAGCGGCCGCCACCCCCCCCCCCCCCCCCGAGAAUCUUCUGAAAGGGCAGCUUCGCAAACCUUGCCUCAGGCCUGCAGGAUCAGAAACGCUGGCAGGGGUGGCACCAGCCCUGCGUCUGUUUUCACAGGUCCUCUGGGGGUGCUGCUGAACCCUCCACUUUGAGAACCGACUGGAAGCUGAAUAGCCCAUCACUCACGACUGAUGGUGGAGAAGUCCAUCCUUCUCACUGAGGAGCUGGAGUCAAGACCAGAGGCCCUCAAUUCCCCGAGAGUGAACAGUGUGUACAAAUUAGGCUUCAGAUGCGACCUCUUGUCUGCCCCAGCAGAGCGGGCUUCCACACUCCUCCUCUGGCCUGUAUCACUGCUCAGCAGCUCGUGUCUACUCAUCACGGCUCCUGUCUUUCUUGAAUUCCCUGCCGCCCUAUUUAGAUUAUUUUAGCAGCUCUUCACACUUCUGCCCCCUCUGUCUGUCCCUGCACGGAUGGAGGAGAAACUUGGAUGUCAGAAGUCACCAGAUGUUAUGCCACCAGCAGGACCACAUCCUUGGGCAGAAGUGUGGGGACUACACUCAACCCGCCAGGGGGUUUGAAUGUCCCCACCCUCAGUCUCUUUCUGUCUCCAUCUCAUUUCCUCCCAAGAAAUUAAACCUAGUUUUAGUUAAGAACUUGGAAGGGGUUAAAGUUCUUUUUUCCCCCAGAGUUGCCCCUAUUUUUAAAAUUUGGAUCCAGCCGUGGAUUCAAGCAGUUAGCCAAGCUCUACUGUCUUUGCCGCCUCUCCAACUUCACAGGUGAAAACGUGAGGCUGUACUCAGAGGCGGGAGACCAUUUGGUGAUCUUUUCGGUAAAUACAGCCACAAGAGGGGAAGAAAAGAACAAUACCCAACAGAUCCAACCCCUGAGUCCAAGCAGACAGUUUAACCCUUGGGUCAUCGCGUUUGUAUUCCACUUACUGGAUUGUUAAUAGAUUUUCUUCAUUUGUGUGAGACGUUGCAAAUGAUGUGUGGAGGCCGGCCGGUUCCUCCAGCGCCGGGACCAGAGGUCCACCUGUAAGGAGACGGCGUUAAAAGCUGCUGCAGUUGUUGUCUCCUGACAACAUCCCAGCUGUAGACUAGCAAUCGCAAUCCUCGGGUGGCAGUUUUAAUUAUCGGCACCGGCGAUACCAUCAGCAAGUGUGUAAUUACGUGUCAGUGUCCUGGCUGUUGGGUAUGAAAAGUGGAACCAGUGAAAUGAUGAUUGUGGAAGCGGUAGACUCAUAUUUAAACAAUUCAAAAUGUGUAACUGGCAGUGUCAUUAAACAGAGACAGUCUGACCCCAGCUGUCACUUACUUUUCCUUAUGCAGAUUUGUUCGUGCUGUCUGUCAAAAGAGCUCCAUGGGCUGAAAUGGGACAGAAGAGGUGACAUAAUUCUCAGAGCAAAGAGGGCUGCUCUCCUUAACUCCGCAGAGGCGUUCUUUUAGCCUAAACAAAUAUGACGGCGAAACUGUAAAUGAACCGAGACCAUUACAGGAAACUCUGUAGACUUUUGCUGAUGAAUACACACAAAAGCAGGGUAUCAACAGACGUCCCGGCCUUAAAAACUACCUUACUAUUCUGUGGGAAUGAUAGUGAACCCCACUGGAGCAUACUGAGGUUGUCAUGAUGAACUCUCCAGACUAGAUAUCUUCAUGGGGUCUGUUGACUUACCCCAUGAAUAUUAUGAGGAUUGCUAAGACCACUGCAUCAGACGAGUGUUACCGGCGAUGUCACCAGAAUGUCAUUGGGGAUCUGAAAUAAUAUUUCACCUGUGCCAACCAAUCAAAGCUCUCUGAGGCCCGUCAGCCAGGAGGGCGGCAAUCUUGUCUCAGCAGCAUUAGACCAGCCACAGACCUCCAGGGCUGAGAAAAGACAUGCUUUUAACUGCUGAAAUACUCCAUCGACUUUUCCGAUGAAAGCAUGUCACUGCAAGGCACAGUUGUGUACAGGACAGCAUGCGUUUCGAGUUACAUAUUCUCUUUUAUUUCUGUAUCAAACAAGAUAUCUAGUAUCCAGUCUAUUUAAUUGAUGGGAUGAAGCUGGGUUCAUUUUGGGAUGUCAUCCUUCUUCAUUACGCCUCGGGUUUUCCUCAUCAUGAGCUUCCUCAGAGGACAGAGACAAAUACCUAGUUUUCACAAGGACGAGGUGUCAGUUGAAUGCAUUUUAAACACUACCCUCAGCAAUUGCAGUCAACAUUUUAAAUAUGGAACAAUUACACACUAAAACGACAUGAGAAACAUGCUUUCUAGAGUGAUCGCUAUUGCAUCUCCGUGGCAAGUGCAAUAUUUAGAGAGAAAUGUUCUUUCCCUAGACUUUACCCGUUUGUAAGCAAAUAAAAUAACUGUUAACCUAGAAAUCACAUCCUGGGUGUGUAUCAUCACCUAAGUAUUGCUGGAAGUUUUCUUCCAAGUUGUGUGAGUCUUAGCUUCCUUAGUAUUUUAUAAUUAAUGACAGAUUUGCAGUUUAAUUUUUUUUCUGCUUACAAAGAAAACUCGGGCUUCUUCCAGAAAAUUCUCAAAGUACAGAAAAGUAAGAAGCAGCAGCCCAUGCCCUCAAUUCUACCCGUGAAGGCUGUCAAGUGAAGGGCUGUAUUUUUGGCUAAUGUGAUAAGCUUUUAAAGUUUCAAAAACAAUGUCUCGAACUAGUACGGUUUUUAUUCUCUCAUCUUAAGAUAUUUGUGACUUCAUUUUAAAAGCUUUCCAUAUGAUCGAUGAAGUGCCCAGGAUUGCUGGGAAUACCUUAACGCAUUCAUCUUCAACAUUUCCUGAAAAGCCUGAAUUUAAGCUCUGUGCGAGUGCUGACACCAUUUUUUAUUUCAUCAGGAAUCUGUCUUUAUUUAGCUUGCAUCUGGGGCUGACAUGACAUAUCAGGACCAGAUGAAGUGGAGUGGAGGAGCCUGGGCCCAACCAGUGGAGCAAAGGUACCGAGCUACGGCUGGGUGGCGUCGAGGUUGACAGCCCGGGGCCUCUAUGAUUGGUGUCUGGGCCACACAGAGGGAGCCGUGCACAGAUUUUCACGCCCAAACGGGCCAUGGUCACAGUCACCUAAGAGGUCGCUGUGUCUGCUUGAGGACCCCACACCUAAACCCUCUUGGAUAGGGUUUACCACUUAAUUGUGUGCAUAUUGGUUUCCAGGAAAUUUGGAAGGAAUUGUGGCUGGCUCCGUUCAAAGGCAUUGGUUUGUUUCUCAAGGAUGUUUGCAGAAGUAACUUGGAUGAAAAGGACUCCUUUAAAACUCCUUUGAAACCUCUCUUAUCAGCCAACAGAAGUCCUUCUCAUCAAUUUUGGGGUUUUUACUAAAUCUCAGAAGCUAUCACCUGACACAAAAAAAUCAAGUGCAGAUGCAGGCUGUGCGUGAAGACGUCACACGUCCAGGAGAAAAGUCGGAGGGGUCUCUGGGGCCCCCUGGGAGGUUUCUUCUGGGGGGUGAGUCACGGCCGUGGGAGUGACUGUGGGCUGCAUGUCAUUGCCUCCCAAGCACAAGCGUGUUCAAUAACAUCUGAGGUGUGCACACUUGGACUCAGGGUGAUGCGUGGAGGAGAGACCAGUUCUGAGGCACCAUUUUCAGGGAGGUCAGGGACAGAGAGAAAGACCCAGAGCAGGAAAUGUGGACCUUUUCUCAUUUCAGGGGCAGGAUUCUACCCCAUCUAGGGUCUCUAGCGUGGAGAGUGAGGUCAGGGAUGCCAGCCCCUGGUCACUGCAGUGGCUGUCCACGCUUUAGAGGGGCCACGGUGUGGCUGGAAUCUGAGCGCAAGCUGCCAACUGUCAGUAAACCUGGGGGUAAGGAAGCAGGAACUGUCCCCACGCAGCUGCAGAGCACCCAGCAGGCCCUGACGUGGCACCACGUUUAGACCAGGGCAUCAGGGAAUGCAGGAGGGACAGGCUCGGAGCAGCAGGUGGAGGGGCUGCCACGACACUGAGGACGCAGUUGGACAGCGGGGCCCAGAGGAGGCGAAAGCCACUGGGGUUAUUUAACCGGAAGAAAAGAAAGCUGGAAGCAAAUGAAGAAGCAGCCCGGGUGCAAACAGAAGGUGUGUAUGCGUGCAUGUGUGUGUGUGUGUAUGUGCUUGUAUAAGCAUGCAUGCAUGUGUGUGUGUGUUAAGGGAUUUUUUUUCAUAGAAAUAGGAA